CUGAAGCCUGGCUGAGGAUUUGCUGUUUGUUGGGAGAGGAGUCAACCGAGAGAGAAGGGCUCAGCAGUGCUGGAAUCUCCAGGAAGGGGUCUAAAGGCACACUGGGCAUCUUUCCAGGAUCUGCAAUGGGUGAAGAUUGAGACACAGCACAGAAUCACAGAGUGGUGAGAUGGGAAGGGACAUCUGAAAUUCAUCCUGAACCCCUUCCCUUCUUGAGCAAGCUGUGUUCAGAUGGGAGACAGCACAACAUCUCUGGGCAAACUGCGGUGGAGAAGUGUUUUGUAAUGGCAGAGGGACCUUCCUCUGUCUCGCUUUGUUCCCUUUUUCUCUCGUCCUGGCACUGGGCACCGCUGAACAGAGCUCUGUCCUCUUUGCACCUUCCCUUCAGGUGUUGAUGCACACUGACCACACCCUCCUUGAACCUUCUUGUCCCCAGACCCUUAUCUCCCUCAGUCUGUCCUAAGAGACACAUUCCUCCACCCAUUGAAAGAUGCAAAGACAUCCAGUACUUGUAUCUUACAGCAGUUUUCAGUAUGGGUUGGUGCAUGUGGGUAAAAAGGAGGGGUGCUGUAACUGUCUGCAGAGCAGUUUCCAAAUGGAAUUUUACAACCUUCUUUGACAAGGGAAGACAACCACUUGCUGAAACCAGUUCAGGGCAGUGACAUUGGGAAGAGGUAUGCUUUACCUGAAAGCCUUUUGUUUCUACAAGGAAUUGUAUGAUGGCUGCUGUUCUUUCUGUCAUGGUCAAAAGUGUGUCAUGCAGAGAAGGACAAAGAGUCUGAAGUAGCAUGUCAAGAAAAAAUACAAUAUAUAGUGGAGUACAAGGGCAUCAUGUUGAGCUUCAGAUUAGGAUGACAUUGAGUCACCCCCACUGUGAGCUUCCAGUUAAAUCUGGGAGAAGAUUACCACAGUGACCUGACCAAGCAGAGGAAUUCCAAAGUUAAAUAUUGUGUGAAAGAGAAGCCAUUUGCUUGAAAAAAAUUGAAAAAAUACCACAGACCAAAAUACUAAAGCAUAAGGAAUAAGCAGGAUAGAUCUACUGCACAUGAUCUGAAUAUUCAGAUUUGCUCAGUGUCUUGCUGAUCUCCUUGGCAGUCAGAAGAUGCACCUGAAUGGGAGAUCUCAGCUGUGUGUUCUGGAAGGCCUGAGAAGAAUUUGUCUCUGCUGAGCUG